CCGUUCCCCUCCGCCUCUCGACUCCGACUGGGAGGGGCCGCCUGCGCAACCCCCCUCCCCAGCCUCCUGCAGAACCAAGGGACCCCCAGCGAGCUGCAAAUUCUAGUCUCCAGCCUCCCGGGUAAACCGAGCACCGCGCCAGUUCGCAGCUGCUGGCCGGGCGCUCCCUAAGGAGAUCUGCGCCCUCCCGGUCCCCCGCCGCCGCCGCCCGACUGUCGGCUCCUGGGACCCGCUUUAGCUUCUCCGCUGCCCCUUCGCCUCUGCCCUCUCAGGACACCCGCCCCGUUCCGACCUCUUCUCCCCUGGUGUUGUGCACGUUCUCCCAGAUUCGAGCACCGGCUCCCGCCUCAGCCCCUCACCCCACUGCGGCAGCCUGCAACCUGACAAGUCGGUGGGGGCUGCGCAGCAGCCUGGCACGCCCCCGCCCGCUGGUGGGGCUCAUCGCAAACACCUGCCAGAGCUCGACCGCGCCGGUAGCCGGGAGUCCCAGCAUCAUGUUUGAUCCUGCCCUCGCCCCGGCGCUGCACCGAAACCUUGCCAGUGGCCUUCAAGGUUCUUCUUCCUCACCAUGGAAGCAAUAUGCAGAAAAAGACCUGAUGCUGAACAUGCUUUGGCCGACUGGGUGCUGCUGAUUUGCAGAUCUCAAUAUGUAUAUCUAUGCUACCAGAGGUUCCACUCAAAGAAAAUGAGCAGUAUUUGCCUCCCCAUUGGAGGUUACAGAGCUUCAGCAAAACCACCAACUUUCUUGAGCUUUGUUCUUUUUAAUUUGCUUUGCAUUGAGGCUAGGGAACUUAAACUGAACUAAGGAUUACUCCCUUUUGUGUUCAUUCAGUAGGUACACAUCUGGUGGUGACUACAUGUGAGAAACUGCUGUGGCAUGUACAAAGGGGAGCUAAAUUAAGAAAAAACAUUAAAAAUGGUCUUUGAACCUUAACACUCACUUUCUAGGACAAAUCUCAGAUACCUACAGUCAGCUCACCUAAGCAAAUGAUGAUAAGUGAAUUUUUGUAGGAGUUCAUGUGAGAAGAACAAGAAGAGAUUGCUUUUUAGAGUACUCAGAUUUCUUAAAAGGGCUUCCAUUUUCCCUAGAAUUACAAGUAUGAUUGAGACAUUACAGAGAUAGUAGGAAAAUGGAAAGGGAGUGACAGGAGCCAAGUUGGGGUAAAAUGUGUGACACUGUCACAAAAUUGGGAGCCACAGAUUCUGUUUUGAUGAAAGAGUUAUAUAUCAGGAACUCACUAGGAAGAACUUCCCACGAGAAUGCAGUUUUCCUAGUUCUAGCAGCCAAUGCAGUAGAUUAAGUGAGAAACAGAGAGAGAGAGAGAGAGAGAGAGAGAGAGAGAGAGAGAGAGAGAGAGAGAGAGAGACAGCCCACAAUCAGCUGUCCACCAGCGCACACCAGGACAGCCAACAGACUUCCACUGGGAAAGCCAUUACAUGUAGGGUUCUGACACUGGAGGGUGAAUGUUCUGUCUAGAUGUCCCCCAAAACCUCAUGCACCCACAGGUGGGGCUUCUGGGAGGUGACUGAAUCAUGGUUAUGUGACACUCCUGGAUUAGUCCACUGAUGGAAUUAUAAACCCUGGUAGGAAGAGGUAGGUCACUGUGGACGUGGCCUGGAAGGACAUAUAUCCUUCUUCUCUUGAUCCCUCACUGCUUCUUGCCUGCCAUGCCAUGAACUGAUUCUCCUCUGCCAUGCCGCCCUGCAUUGGAGCCAGCCACCUAUGAAAUGAAACCUCUACAAUUUGAGCCAAAUUAAAUCUUUCCUCCUUUAACUUGUGCAUGUCAGGUAUUUUGUUCCAGCAAUGACACAGUGACUAAAAGAGUGAACAAUAUAAGAGUGGUUUAGAAGCCUUGUUUUGACUUUGUAAAGUCAAUGUAUUAAACUUUUCAGCAGUAACAAACAAAUGUGUGCUAAUGUAAACUCAUAUACUUACAUAUAACAAACAAUGAUCUGGUGUGUGCUAUUCCUUAUACAAGUGUUCCUAUUUCUUAUCACCAUUUUCUCUCUAGCAAACCACAAAGGUAGCACUUCACACAACAGCAAGUAGAUCUUGGGUGUAACGGUCCAUGUGCUUUCUCCACCUUCCUUACAGGACUUCUCAUGUUGCUGAAGAGGAGACAGCAUGGCUCUUCAUCCUCCCUUCACUCUCAGAUGCUGAUGCCACUCUUUAUUUCAGAGCAAAGUAAAAGAGUUGGAAGAUUUUUUUUAAAACCUACUCACUAAACUGGAAAUGUCACUACAUCAGAAACGUUAAUUUAAAAACUAAAAAAAUUCUUCCUAAUUCACAGUAAACCUAAUAUUUAGAAAUAAAAGGCAUUAAAGUAACCCAUAGUACUUUAUCUUACAGAAUCAGGUAAACAGAAUAAAAUCUAACAUGAGAUUAUAUGAAGUGUCAUGAAGGAUCUAUAAAUUCAAUGACUUUAAAUUUAUUCAAAUUAUCACAGAAACCAGCAACUUUUCUCAUUAAUUAUUGCUGCAUAACUAACCAUCUCAGUACAUAGUGACUUCAAAUACUUACAGUUUUAGUGCUCAUGAUUCUGUGCUUUCAUUGUUUCCUUAAGCUGGGCUUGCCUGUGCUGUUAUGGAGCCACAUUUGCUUGAUGGAGUUGCUGAACCUAGAAGAACUAAAAUGACUUCAGCCACAUAUCUUGGGUCUUGAAAAUGUGGCUAGAAUUUUGGGACUUGUGUCUCCUUACAAUCAUGCAUCCUCCACUAGGCCACACCUAGCUUCCAUAGAUGACAGCUGUGUUUCAAGACAGCCAGCCCAAUAUACAAGCUCUUCUAUAGUCUCUGCAUGCAUUAACUUGAUGAUGGCCCAUUGACCAAGUCAAAUCACAUGAACAAACCUGAUGUCAUGGUGGCAGGGAACCACACAAAGGUGUAAAUACUGG
ensembl:lncRNA